UGAGGAAUAUUGGUCAAUGGGCGAGAGCCUGAACCAGCCAAGCAGCGUGCAGGAUGACGGCCCUAUGGGUUGUAAACUGCUUUUAUGUGGGGAUAAAGUGCGUGACGUGUUAUGCAUUGCAGGUACCACAUGAAUAAGGACCGGCUAAUUCCGUGCCAGCAGCCGCGGUAAUACGGAAGGUCCGGGCGUUAUCCGGCUUUAUUGGGUUUAAAGGGAGCGUGGGCUGUCUAUUAAGCGUGUUGUGAAAUUUACCGGCUCAACCGGUGGCUUGCAGCGCGAACUGGUCGACUUGAGUAUGCAGGAAGUAGGCGGAAUUCAUGGUGUAGCGGUGAAAUGCUUAGAUAUCAUGACGAACUCCGAUUGCGCAGGCAGCUUACUGUAGCAUAACUGACGCUGAUGCUCGAAAGUGCGGGUAUCAAACAGG
rnacentral:rRNA from 1 species